AGGUGGGAUUACCCGCUGAACUUAAGCAUAUCAAUAAGCGGAGGAAAAGAAACUAACAAGGAUUCCCCUAGUAACGGCGAGUGAAGAGGGAAAAGCCCAAAUUUGUAAUCUGGCUCUUUUAGAGUCCGAGUUGUAAUUUUGAGAACUGUUUUCAGUGCUGGACCAUGUUUAAGUCUGUUGAAAAACAGCAUCAUUGAGGGUGAUAAUCCCGUUCAUGAUAUGGACUACCAGUACUUUAUGAUACAGUCUCUAAGAGUCGAGUUGUUUGGGAAUGCAGCUCAAAGUGGGUGGUAAAUUCCAUCUAAGGCUAAAUAUAGGUGAGAGACCGAUAGCAAACAAGUACCGUGAGGGAAAGAUGAAAAGAACUUUGGAAAGAGAGUUAACAGUACGUGAAAUUGCUGAAAGGGAAACAAUUGAAGUUAGCCUUGUUAUUGUCAGUUCAGCUCUUUUAGAGUGUAUUCUGAUGAUUAACGACCAACAUCAGUCUUUGAGUGCUGGAUAAGGGUUUUGGAAAUGUAGCAGUCUCGGCUGUGUUAUAGUCCAUUACUUUGAUACAGUGCUUGGGAUUGAGGAUCGCAGUAAGCCAUUUUAUGGUGGACCAAAUUUUUGGUCUUCUUACUGAGGAUGUUGGUGAAAUAGCUA
rnacentral:rRNA from 1 species